rnacentral:rRNA from 1 species
UGGCGAGUGGCGGACGGGUGAGUAAUGCGCAGGAAUAUACCUUAAAGAGGGGGACAACUUGGGGAAACUCAAGCUAAUACCGCAUAAUCUCUGAGGAGAGAAGCUGGGGACCUUCGGGCCUGGCGCUUUAAGAUUAGCCUGCGUCCGAUUAGCUAGUUGGUAGGGUAAAGGCCUACCAAGGCGACGAUCGGUAGCUGGUCUGAGAGGAUGACCAGCCACACUGGAACUGAGACACGGUCCAGACUCCUACGGGAGGCAGCAGUGGGGAAUAUUGGACAAUGGGGGAAACCCUGAUCCAGCAAUGCCGCGUGUGUGAAGAAGGCCUGAGGGUUGUAAAGCACUUUCAGUGGGGAGGAGGGUUGACAGGUUAAGAGCUAGUUAACUGGACGUUACCCACAGAAGAAGCACCGGCUAACUCCGUGCCAGCCGCCGCGGUAAUU